rnacentral:rRNA from 1 species
UCGAGAAUCUUUAGCAAUGGGCGAAAGCCUGACUAUGCGACGCCGCGUGAGGGAUGAAGGAUUUCGGUUCGUAAACCUCUUUUGGCAGGGAAGAAAAAGUUGCAGUUAAUAGCUGCAAAACUGACGGUACCUGCAGAAUAAGCCACGGCUAACUCCGUGCCAGCAGCCGCGGUAAUACGGAGGUGGCUAGCGUUACUCGGAAUUAUUGGGUGUAAAGGGCAAGUAGGCGGCUUGGUAAGUGGGGGGUGAAAUACUCCGGCUCAAUCGGAGAACUGCCUUCCAAACUACCAGGCUUGAGUGUGACAGAGGAAAAUGGAAUUCUCGGUGUAAGGGUGAAAUCUGUAGAUAUCGAGAAGAACACCAGCGGCGAAGGCGAUUUUCUGGGUCACUACUGACGCUAAAUUGCGAAAGCUAGGGGAGCAAACAGA